rnacentral:rRNA from 1 species
AGUGAACGCUGGCGGUAGGCCUAACACAUGCAAGUCGAACGGCAACACGGAGAAGCUUUCCUCUUACGUGACGCGAGUGGGAGGGGGGUGAGAAGUCCAGCAGAAUCUCCGUUUGCGUGGGGGAUCAAGUGGGGAAGCUUACGCAAAUCCCACAUACGCCCUACAGGUGAGAGCAGGAGCUCUUCGGACCUUGCGCGCUUGAGUGCGCAGAUGUCGGAUUAGCUAGUUGGUGGGGUAAAGGCCCACCAAGGCGACGAUCCGUAGCUGGUCUGAGAGGAUGACCAGCCACACUGGAACUGAGACACGGUCCAGACUCCUACGGGAGGCAGCAGUGGGGAAUAUUGGACAAUGGGCGCAAGCCUGAUCCAGCCAUACCGCGUGGGUGAAGAAGGCCUUCGGGUUGUAAAGUCCUUUUGGUGGGGAAGAAAAGCAGAAGGUUAAUACCUCGGUGUUCUGACGUUACCCAAAGAAGAAGCACCGGCUAACUUCGUG